rnacentral:tRNA from 1 species
GCCUGGGUGGCUCAGUGGUUGAGCAUCUGCCUUUGACCCAGGGCGUAUCUUGGGUCUCGGGAUCGAGUCCCACCUCAGGCU